UCUCAUAGCUUCUAUUUAGGCUGCAGCUGUUGCUAUUAUGUUAAUAAUAAUUUUUAUCACCACUGUAUACAACAGGUUAUGGGAAGAAUAGAAAUAUCUCUUUGGGGGGGGUCCCCCCUUGUCAUUUCCAUGUUUCGAUGUCAGAAGGGAAGACUGUAAGAAAAUCGGGCAAAUUGAGCCCCCAAAGCGCACUGUAAUUUUCUAUUUCUGAACGGAUUUGUGAGAGAAUGGCUGAGUGAAGUUAGCAGAGCGUCAUCCCCCACACAAAGAUGGCGCGUGCAGAAUUUGUGAGAGCGGAAAGGGGUGUGGAAGGAAGGACAGGCAAGUGGGGACGGAACACUGCAGUGCUGGGUGCAGCUGGAGUCCAGAAAUGAUUUUUUUUCGACGAAUUUAGGAUUUUGCCGCAGUGUUCAUCUGCAGUCCCAGAAUCCUCCGGUAAGUUAAUCCUUCUUGCGAUGGGAAACGCCUUGAACCUUCUUGUGAAUAAAAUACCUGCAACCA